rnacentral:rRNA from 1 species
ACGCUAGCUACAGGCUUAACACAUGCAAGUCGAGGGGAAACGGCAUUAAGUGCUUGCACUUUUUGGACGUCGACCGGCGCACGGGUGAGUAACGCGUAUCCAACCUUCCCAUGACUAAGGGAUAACCUGCCGAAAGGCAGACUAAUACCUUAUGGUCUUCACUGACGGCAUCAGAUGUGAAGUAAAGAUUUAUCGGUUAUGGAUGGGGAUGCGUCUGAUUAGCUUGUUGGCGGGGUAACGGCCCACCAAGGCAACGAUCAGUAGGGGUUCUGAGAGGAAGGUCCCCCACAUUGGAACUGAGACACGGUCCAAACUCCUACGGGAGGCAGCAGUGAGGAAUAUUGGUCAAUGGGCGAGAGCCUGAACCAGCCAAGUAGCGUGCAGGAUGACGGCCCUAUGGGUUGUAAACUGCUUUUGUAUGGGGAUAAAGUCAGUCACGUGUGAUUGUUUGCAGGUACCAUACGAAUAAGGACCGGCUAAUUCCGUGCUAGCAGCCGCGGUAAUACGGAAGGUCCGGGCGUUAUCCGGAUUUAUUGGGUUUAAAGGGAGCGUAGGCUGGAGAUUAAGUGUGUUGUGAAAUGUAGACGCUCAACGUCUGACUUGCAGCGCAUACUGGUUUCCUUGAGUACGCACAACGUUGGCGGAAUUCGUCGUGUAGCGGUGAAAUGCUUAGAUAUGACGAAGAACUCCGAUUGCGAAGGCAGCUGACGGGAGCGCAACUGACGCUGCAGCUCGAAGGUGCGGGUAUCGAACAGGAUUAGAUACCCUGGUAGUCCGCACAGUAAACGAUGGAUGCCCGCUGUUGGUACCUGGUAUCAGCGGCUAAGCGAAAGCAUUAAGCAUCCCACCUGGGGAGUACGCCGGCAACGGUGAAACUCAAAGGAAUUGACGGGGGCCCGCACAAGCGGAGGAACAUG